rnacentral:lncRNA from 1 species
CCGAUUCAAUUAUACAGCACAUACAUACAAUAAGACACUUGAAGGUUUCCGGAAUUUUACAGAUCCGCCGGCAGCACAUACAUACAAUUUGAUGGUUCCGCCGGCAGCACAUACAUACAAGUUGAUGCUUCUCUGAAUUAUACAAACAGCUGAUUUACACCUUUUCUUUAUAAAUGUCCCCAGCUCGACCAGGUUUCAGUUUUUCCUGUAAGCACGUACCAAAGGAAGCUUUACAAAAGGAAGCACGAAAAUCAGCAGGUUCAAAGGAAGCACAUGCAUAAAUAUUUUACCAGACAUAUACUAAUUAUCAUCCGGUUUUGUCCUCCUGUACGUUGACAUUGAAAUUGACCUCUAACCCCUCUUAUUGAUCUACAUCCCCAACGAAGUAUGGGAAAUUGUAAUAGCAAGGCACCGGAAUAGAGAAAGGCAUCGGAUGUACCUCUACCCCAUCUUGUUGAUCUACAUCCCCAACGAAGUCUAGGUAUAUCUCUGCCCCGUCUUGUUGACCUUUAUUCUGAUGUAAACACAACAUGAGAAAUCAUUUUACAGGCCAUAUUGAGGGUAAUUCCGUCGAUGAAUCCAUCCCAGAAAUCGUUCCCGCACCAAGUCACAACAUUGACGAGUACGACCCAAUGACUCCAGGUUUGGGGCUUUUGUAAAUAACUUGCAUUAUCAAAUGGUUUUUAUUUCAUCUUCUCAUGUUAACCUACAAUUGUGAUAGGUCACUCAUCACAACAAAAAGUAAGUAUGGUAACUUCAAAUAGCAAGGCACUGGAACAGAUAAAGGCAUCGGAUGUACCUCUACCCCGUCUUGUUGAUCUACAUCCCCAAGGAAGUCCAGGUAUACCUGUAUCCCGUCUUGUUGACCUUCGUUCUGGUAUAAACAAGACAUUUCAUAUAACUACCGUGUUACAUGCCAUAAUGAGGGUAAAAAUGUCGACGAAUCCAUACCAGAAAUCGUUCCCGCACCGAGUCACAACAUUUACGAGUAUUACCCAAUGACUCCAGGUACGUACCUUUUGUAAAUAACAUGCAUUAUCAAAUGGUUUUUUUUCAUUAUCAAUAUUAGUCCCUCUGAACCUGGGCAAAUCUUCAUAAACUUGGGAAUGCAAGUCAUAUGGAGAAAAUGCAAGUCAUAAACCGAGGAACACAAAUCUGAGCAUGGCUCCUGCAGUCAUAUGGAGAAAAUGCAUGGCUGAAGUGACAAUUAUCAAGCAGAUUACUAAUAGGAAUAAGCAUCAGGGGUGUAAACUGAAUUCCAGUAAUAAAGAGCAUCAAUCGUAGUUGAAAAGCAGUAGUAAAGUAAAAUUAAAGCUUGUGGCUGGGGUCAUAUAUAAACAUAAUGCAUGUUAUAUCAAAUUUCUCAUAACACGUUCUUUUAUGGGCAUACAUGAUGUUAUUUAGUACUAUUUUGUUGUUAUUAUUGUUCAAGGUGUGACUAAUAUUUUCUUCUCCAAUAUCAGAAAUGUUUGGGUAGCCAUGCCUGACAAAAAAACUAAACCAUGCCACACUCAUAUUAAGAGUAUCAAUAGUAUACUUUUGGAUGGUAGUUUUCCUAAAAGUGCUAUAAUAAUCGCCCUAUAUGUUGUAACUUAUUAUAUCCAUGAUAUUUUUGGCAGUUGAGUGGUUAUGUUUCUUUUUGUAUUGAUGAAAGUUUGACAGACGAUGAACUGGAGUCAUUGGGUAUUAGGAAAUGUGACUGUGAUUCAGUAGAUUUCCCUUCGGCCAUAAUAGUGAUUCAGCUGCAACUUUUAUUCAUAUAAUCCCAACGCACAAACACAUGUAGGACAACAAUAAUGACAACAAUCAUGGAAAAACAUACCAUUACCAAAAACAAAGGGACAAAAUGAUAUAAGCUGGCACUACUAGAAAAAGGGUUAUAGAUGGGAUUGACACUAAUGGCGCACUAGACAAGCGGUGCGCCAUUAGUAUAUACUAAUGGCGCACCACCUUCUGAUACGCCAUUAGAGUUGAAACACUAAUGGCGCACCUGGCCCAGGGUGCGCCAUUAGUAUCAAAUUUUUUUUGAACUAGUGCGCCUGUCCAAACAUUAUAAUGGCGCAUCCAGACACAGUGCGCCAUUACUAGUUGUAACUAGUAAUGGCGCACAUGUCGAAAAGUGCGUCACUAAUGUUGUUUUUUAUUAUAUUUUUUAUUCCUUUUUUUGCAAAACUACUAAUGGCGCACUAUUUCACCGUGCGCCAUUACUAGUUUAAACUAGUAAUGACGCACUGUGGGACAGUGUGCCAUUAGUAUGUUUUUUUUGCAAAACUACUAAUGGCGCACCACCAGAAGGUGCGCCAUUAGUAACCUGGAUUACUAAUGGCGCAUUUAGAGUUGGUGCGCCAUUAGUGCCCAGGAAUCCCACAAUCCCACAUCCAUCCAUCCAUCCGACCCAACGCACCAACACACAUACACUCUCUCUCUCUCGCUCGAACCCACCCAAACCCUCGUCGCCUCCUCUCUUCCCCCCGAACCCCUCUCUCCCUCGCCGCCGUCGCCACCCACGCCGCCCGGUUCCGGCGAGCUCCGGUCGCGCGCAGCACGCCGGCGAGAUCCCCUUGGUCCGCAUCUGGCUUACCUCCAUGCAGAUCCGCGGCUCCCCCACUGGCUAGGGUUUUGCAUCCCCUUUUGUUUGCCGGGAUCCGCCAUGGCAGGCCACGGCGAGGCCAUAGGUGACCGGAUCCAGCACUGGUAAGCCCCUCCCCCUCCUUCGCCCACCAUCUCCUCCUCACCUCACCUCAUCUUCUCUUCCUUCUUUGCAGGUCGCCAUGGGCGUGCCGACGACGACGGCAGGAGGGGCGCACCUCCGUGGGGCGGGACGCCGCCAUGGAGAUGGAUUCCCUUGUCCGCCACCACGCAGCGGCACCAUGGAGCCUCCCAGCGCCCCAAACCCUAGCGGAGAGAGAGGAGCUACUCCUAGUACAGCACGCCAUGGAAGGGAUUUUUUUGGUAUUUUUGUUGUUGUUUCUCUUCCCGAUCUAAUCAUGUGGAAGGCCCUUUUCCUCACCAUGAUUUAUUCAUCUCCCCUUCCUCUGUUUUGUGCAGGUUGCUCUAAUGGCGAAGCUUCUUCUGCAGGACACCCUCCACCCCUCCCCUGCAUCCACCUCCUACCCCCAUACAUGGUGAGCUACAACCUCUCUUUCUAGCCCUUGCAAAUCUGAUGUGGAGUGGACAUGAAUUGCAAUUGUCAUGGACACUACAUAACAGCAAGUAUUGGUUCAGUUUUUGUGUGAAAUUCGAUUGUCAUUGUGCUUUCUGAUGCUUGCUUCAGAAAAAUAAAAUCAUGGAUAGAUAGAAGAUGGAAACAGUGAGCUUCCUUUCAAGUUAGUAAUACUAAAAAUCAUUUGGCUCAUCAAUUUUUCAUGUCUUGUGUUAAAUCCACUCCAUUGCAAUCUGGCUAUGUAUGGAUGGUUUGGUACAAUUUGCCAUGGAUGACUAUAGUAGUUACGUACACAUGUGCUUUGUAGUUUUAGUUCUUCUUGUGUUGCUGCACUUAGUCUAGAGAUACAACAACAUUAGUUAGGUCAUGGAUGGAUGGAUCAAUACAUACAGCUAGCACUGCUAGCAACAACAACAAAAUAACCUUAUGAUUGAUUCUGUUGACGCUAGCAUGCUCUAUUAGUUUUGGAGCCCAACCAUGGACUGUACUUACUAAGCUAGCUCAAGCACACACACAUGCAGCUUGAUUUAUUUCUGUAGAUACUAGCAGCAGCACGCGUGUCUCCUAUACUAGCUUGCUUAAUUUCUGUACUAGAUCAACGACACUAGCACUUACUUGUUUGUUAGAUUCGGAGCAGCAGGCAUCCUCCGUGGACGAUGACGACAACCAGGUCAUCCACCGCCACGACGACACCCCACACAUGGUCCAACUCGACUACAACAUCCACCGCGUGACGGUGACGUGGUCGUGUGCGGCAUCGACCAACCUCCUCUCUUGUGAAUCCGUCUCCUACCUGUAGCUCCCGCUCUUGUGCUGCUAUAUUAGUACCUUGCUCUGUUUCAUGCGUAUGGGUGAUUUUGUUUGUGCUUCUGUCAUGGAAAAGAUCAUUCCUAUUUAUUUGUGCUCUGUUUUCUUUAUUAUCACGAGUUGCAAAAUUAGUAGUGGGAAGUAAACUUUUGUUAACUUGUUGGUUGAACCAAUGGAACUACUGUUAUAUUUGAUUUGUUGCUCAACUACUGCUGCAAUGAUGGGAUCGAAUGAUUGCAUGACCCUAAUGUUGGCCUAUCAUUUCAAUUAUCUUGGUCUUAUAGAUGUUAUUGUUCCUGUCAUAUAGCACAUGCUAGUUUCUUUAUUGGUUGGCUGCUGGUUCUGUUUGUUCAUAUGCAUAAGUGCUACUGUUUCUUUGUUAUCUUAUAAAGGAUAUAGUCCUUCAUUUGUAUAUAGCCGUAACUCUCUUAUUGAUCAACAUAUACUGAUUCAUCUCUUUACUGCAAUUACUCUGUGUACUUCAUGAUUUGCUCCUGUAGUGGUAUAAAAUUAUAGUUUCUCUUUCAAGCUGGUAUCUGUGUUUGAUAUAUACUAGUAUUUAUCUAAAUACCAUGUAUUGGUAUUUCUUGUAUGGUUUAGUACAUCAUCUACUGGUGGUUUAGUUGUAUAUUGUACAGGACAUAGUCCUGACGGUUGCAUGUAGUGAUAAUUCUUUCUUUGCAUUAGCUAUUUCAUAUGUUUCAGAUAAUUUAGAUGCAUGCUUAUACUCCUAUCUAUACCAGGUGCAUGUGUUGUGCUUGUGUACCUAUAUACAGAAUAGUACCCAUGUGUAAGUGGGUGUAUGUGUUCUGCUUAUAGCAGAUGUUUAGUAAAUGUGCUAUCAAUGGCCUAUUUCUUCUUGUAGGUUAUAGACUAUAUCUUUCCAUGCCAAUUCCCUCUCUCUUAAAUCUGAUUUGAACAGAUGCUGCACUGGUCUCUUCACUUUCUUUCUUUCUCUCCUACUCUCACUGAUAAGAACAGGUGCUCCUUAAUCUUGCCAUGCCAAUGAUGGUGUCCUGAGGCUCUCAUCGUUACUUAAAGAUGUUGCACUACUUGAUCCAAUGAUGCAAUAGUCCUAGCACUACUAGGCUGCCUGAGGACAAUCCCUACUUCAAACCCUACCUCUGGGCUAGUUGAUUAGUAGUGGGUUUGUUGGAUUUCAUCUGAAAACUAACCCAAGCUUAAUUGAGGGAUCCCCUAAUCAUGGAGUUAGUUCUAGUUUGAGUUGAUCUUUGGGUUUGGCUUUGAUCUAUACUUUGCUGGCUCUACUUCUAUCUUUUGGGUUAUUGGCUCCAUUUAUGCAGUGUUGGCUCUCUUCUACUGUUUCUUUGAUCAACUUAAUCUGAUUGGGGUUUGACUAAUGUUUCCAAACUCGUAAGUGCUAGCUCCUACAGCAAAGGCAUUUUGCUAAGGGGAAUGCUACAUUUAAACCUUGAUCAAGUUUUUCAUGUUUGUUGUUUCUUGUUUUGCAGGUUGAUGAACUGAAAGAAAGAAGUAGAAGAUGAAGAACUAGAUAGUUUAGUAUAGGUUUAGUUUAGGACUUUUUCUAGAUACGCCCGCUAUCUAGCGGGAGAGGGGAGGGAGCGUUGGAGGAACCGGAUGAAGACGAGUUUCAUCGUGAUGAUGCUCAUCGUGAUGACCGCAGCUCUCUUCUAUGUGAUGGUAGUUUAGAUGAUCGAUAUUGACUUGUAAUGUGAAGACAAACUCGCUACUCGCGGUCUCGAGACUUGUAAUAUAAUGUUGUAUGUUUGUUCGGUCUUUUCAAUUCAGAGACUAAUAUGAUGAAUUAUAUUCGGAGACUAAUAUGAUGAAUUGUAUUCAGAGACUAAUCUUCUAUUGUAUUCGAUGAAUCUGUUGUUGAUGUGUGCUGUCUAUAUUUUGUCCAAUUAUAUAUUUUGUAACCUGUGCAAAAAACAGAAAAUAAAAAAAUAAAAAAACCUAAUAUUCAUACUAAUGGCGCAUCACAUCACAGUGCGCCAUUUGUAUGUCAAAGGAUACUAAUGGCGCAUCAUUAAACAGUGCGCCAUUAGUAUGCCGAAGUUACUAAUGGCGCAUCUUGUUGUUGUGCGUCAUUAGUAUGCCAAAGCACCUGGGUAUACAUGGCCCCCUGGGAGGCAUACUAAUGGCGCACUGUUGUAUAUACUAAUGGCGCAUCUGAGGUGCGCCAUUAGUAUACCAGAUACUAAUGGCGCACCAGUGGUGCGUCAUUAGUAAAAUAUACUAAUGGCGUGGCACUAAUGGCGCAGCACUAAUGCGCCAUUAAUGGCCAAAUUAAGUGCGCUAUUAGUAGGCCUUUUCCUAGUAGUGUGGUUUACAUGGUAAUAUAAAAGGAUAUAGGGAGGAGCCAUUGCAAAGAGAUCAACCAGAAGACAAGAAAAUAUAUGUGAUGUUCAUUGACUCUAAAAGAAACCAAAUAAAGAUCCAUCUUAAACAAAAACAUCCGAUGGACAAUGUCGCAAUGGGACACACCUUCCCUUCUUGUGCUUAUGGAUGUUCAUAUUCUUCUGUGAGCCUAACCACUAGCUUUUGUUCUGUUCCUGUAGGUCCAAAAUCUCGGCAAAACGAUGACUGCCCAUAUGCCCAUGGUCAUGAUGGUUUAGAUUUUGCACCAGUGUCUACCCCAACUGGUUCCCAGACAACAUCUCUACUCCUGAAUGAUGCCAAGCGGUCUACCAGAAAGCAUCAUAAAGAAUGCAGUAAUAACUUGACAGAAGACCAAAGGGAGCGGAGAAACGCGCGAAGGCGAGAAAAUUAUUGGAAGAAAAAGGAAGAGAAUACAAUCAAGCUUCAAAGUGAAAACUACAAUGUUUCUCGACCCCCUCUUGGCGAUAUCACUAAUGUUCAUCAGCCUUCGCAUGAGAUACCAGGUACGGAUCUAGAAUUUAUUCUUGUUUAAUUGUAGCGUAAAUUAGGUAAUGGUAGCUAUGGUGCAAUGCGAUAAAGAAAGAAACAAUAGCUUCACAGGCGAUAAAAAGUAGCAGAACAACACGCGGAGGCGAGCAGCUUAUCCGAAGAAAAAAUAUGAGGAUAUGACCAACCUCCAAGCAGAAUUUCAGUGUGUUUCCCGACCCCCUCUUGGUGAUAUAACAAGUGUUGAUCAAUCUUCCCAUAGCAUAUCAGGUACAUGUGCUUAAUUUUUCAGUUCAUAAAUUAAGUAAUCGUUGGAUAGAAUGACUUCAUUCUGCAGCUUCGUGCUUGCUGAACAUGGAUGAUAUGGUUAUGUUCCAAUUUUAUUGUUCAACCAGCCAACCCAACUAGCUCCAGCUAUACAUCCUUGUCACAUGCUGAUGCAAUGUUGCCUACUUCGAGUACUCCCAUUGAUGGGUUCAUUGAUGACAAUGUACUAGCUGGAUGGCAACGUGAGAAAGAAGAACAAAGGAAGCAGAGAAACGCAUAGAGACGAGCAUCUUAUCAGAAGAAAAAGGAAGAGGGUAUGAUCAACCUCCAAAAAAAUAAUCAAGUGCAGCGUGAGCGACGAAAGGAACAACGAAACUGCAGGACCCCUGAUGAGCAGGGGGAGUCAAGUGCGAAUAGAAAGGCAGACUAUGCUAGGAGGAAAAACACCCUUUGUGCUGAAUCGAUCGCAAUGCCACGUCCAGAUCUAGCUAGCGCAUUGUCCAACUUUCACACUUUCAACCCUCACGCACAUUGUCCGACUCUCACACUUCCAACCAUCACACAACAAUUCGACAUUGAACAGAUAGAUCGUGCCGCAACCGACAAGUCGGCCCCCACAUACAUUCGCAACACCGAAACCGAUGGUAGUUAUCCCAUCAAUGAUCAUCUUUCAUUUUGUAGUCAUUCAUCGGUUAUUUAUAAUGAUUCGAUAAUGUUGUAGGUGCAUACCUAAGCAGAACCCUAGGUGAUGGUGACGUAGAUGGCAACCUCGACAAAAUCAAUGAGCACCUACCAAAUGCCGACCAGCAAACCAGUGAUCCGGUAACAAAAGCGGAUUAUGGCUCCCCCGAGCAGAGUCAUGGGUCCAGAGCUCAGCGUAGGACGAGAGAGCGAGCUUGCAAGGGAAGUAUGGCGGCGAAUAAGCGUCAGGACAAAAUUAGCAAGCGAAAAUCAUGUUUGCAGGUGCCACGUGGUGAGAGGAAGGCUCUGCUAGAUCAUCGUAAUGCAAGCUUUGCAGGUAGGGCGAAUACCCGAACUGUCAAGACCAUCUCCACAUCGGAGAUUAACUCAACGGGACAACCUACCAUAGUUGAAGCAAACGGUGCCUCAACAUCAUCUAGCACGCCGGAGUACAUGAUCAGAAGUGAAGGUAACACCCCCAUCCUUACUCUCCGAUCGUCUCUUGAGACCGAACCCUCAUUUGUGUUGUUUGGCACCUGGGCAGACGACAUGGACGCUUACCUCAAUGGUCUCAUGAAUGAUAAUGCCAAUCCUGAUGACCUCUUUGACGAUGAAUAUUACCUGUUUUCUGGUGAAGGUAUGUACACCCGCUUGAGCAUGAUCCACAUUGUUUGGGGUAUCACACUUAUUAGAAACAUUGUUUGCAGGCUCAGAUGCUGAUGACAUGGAGCACGACGAAUUGGAAGACUCAAGUCACAAUAACUAUGUCGACCAUGAUCCACUGGACUAUGUGUACUCAAACCUCCCAGACAACACACACAUCCUAAAGCAUGCCGCAAACUGUGCCCACUGCAAGGCCAAGAAAUUUGAGUCCGAGGCCCCAGGAUUCUGCUGUCGCAGUGGGCAGAUCCAACUGAAGCAACCGGAACCCAUCCCGGAGCUCAUGACGCUUUGGUCUAGCAGUGAUGCGGACUCUAGGAAUUUUCGGGAGAACAUACGGUUCUUCAACGGCCACUUCUCCUUCACAACCCUCGGCGUCAGCCUCGAUGAAAGUUACACAAACAUGAAGUCUGGGGUGUACACGUUCCGGGCACACGGCACCAUCUACCACAACGUUCAUUCCUUCGGGCCAACAUCCCGUCCAGAGCAUCUACAGUUGUACUUCUAUGACGACGACCCAGGCCUAACCCAUCGCAAGGCUGCCACCAAGCAAUUAGACCAGGAUGUCGUCAGAAAUUUAGUGGACAUACUCAGGGAAAACCCAUACUCACAGCAGUUUAGGAGUUUGGGUGCGCACAGGGACAACCUCGACGACUACAGGAUAGACCUCAACACUGACCAGAGACUAGACCAACGGAAGUAUAAUAAACCUCUGUCAUCUGAGGUCGCUGCAAUUUGGGUGGAGGGCACUGACCUAGCGAAGAGGUUCGGUCAUAGGAUUACACUUUGCGGGAAUGACAACCAGAGGCACAGUAUACAUGUGACGGCUGGCUCGUAUGACCCGCUCUCUUACCCACUCUUCUACCCAAGGGGGGAGCUCUGUUGGCACCCAAAACUACCUAAACAUGAUGUCCCUUGGCCGGUUGUGCAACAACCAAGAGGUAGACGUGAUGAUGAUGAGGAGGAGGAGGAUGGAGGUAAGCCUUAUGCGUAUUCUGUCGUUUUGAUGAAUUGUAUAGUUCUCAUAUGAAUCCUAACUUAUGUGUUACUCAUACAUGUGCAGAGGGGAAUAGCAGGUUAUGCGUCUCCGUGAGAGACUACUACUGUUACAUGCUGCAGACACGACCUGGGAUAUUCAAUCCCAUACUCUGUGGAGCACGAUUGCUCCAGCAAUGGAGGGUGGACAUGUACAUCAAGAUUGAGAGUUGUAGGUUGAAAUGGUACAGGAAGAACCAGACAAAGAUCCGUGCCGACCUGUAUAAAGGAGUUGUUGAUGCAAUUACAUCCGGGGAGACAUGGGCAAGUGCUGUUGGAGUAAGGAUAGUGCUCCCUGGAACGUACCCAGGUGGCGACUGUGACAUGAAGCGGAGGCAUAUGGAUGCCAUGGCAAUUUUCCAUACAUACGGGAAGCCUGACAUCUUCUUGACCAUGACCUGCAACCCUAACUGGGAAGAGAUAACGAAUGAGUUGAUUCCUGGUCAGACAGCGCAAGACCGACCUGAUCUUGUGGCCCGUGUGUUCCAUGGCAAGCUUGAGGCUAUGAAAGAGAUGUUGUUCAAGAAGAAUAUCCUGGGUGUUGUUGUCGCACAUGUAUACGUAGUCGAGUUCCAGAAGAGGGGCCUCCCCCACGCACACUUUUUGUUGAUCAUGGAUUCUUCCUAUAAGCUUGUCGUUCCAGAGCAGUACGACCGACUCAUUUCUGCCGAGCUCCCAGACAAGCAGAAGUAUCCAGAACUCCACGCCUUGGUGGUCAAACAUAUGAUGCACGGACCAUGCGGUGCUCUCAACCCCAAAAAUGUGUGCAUGCAAUAGAAUGAGUGCAAGUGCAGAUACCCGCGGCCGUUCAAUGAAAACACGGCACAGGGGAAGGACUCAUACCCAGUUUAUCGUCGCCGAGAUAAUGGCCGGCAAGCUAAGGUCCGGGGUAAAAUGUUGGACAACAGAUGGGUUGUGCCGUAUAACCCUUACCUUCUGCGGAUGUUCAAUUGCCACAUCAAUGUUGAGGUUUGCUCCAGCAUAAAGGCCGUCAAAUACCUUUACAAGUACAUAUACAAGGGCCAUGAUAGGGCUUCUUUCAGCAUCGACCAGCCCGACACCGAUGGUAACAUUGAUGAGAUCAAAAGAUAUGUAGACGCGAGGUGGGUUACUCCUCCAGAGGCGAUGUGGAGGAUAUUUGGCUUCCCCUUGUGUGCCAAUGACCCGCCUGUCCUACAGUUGCCUCUUCAUCUCCCGAAUAUGCAUAGGGUGGCAUUCAAUGAGCAAGCUCACUUGACCGACGUAUUAGCCUCUGAGAAUGCUUCCAAAUCCAUGUUGACAGAGUAUUUCAAAGCUAACCAGAAACACCCGUGGGCUAGGAAUAUAUUGUACAAGGAUUUUCCUGGAAGGUUCACAUGGCAGAAGGGUAAGAAGUAUUGGAAAGAGCGGGUGGAGCAUUAUCAGAUAUGUCGAAUUGUGUCUGCCAAUCCUGCCGAGGGGGAGCGAUACUAUCUGCGUGUGCUGCUAAACCACGUUGCUGGCAAGACAUCCUAUGAGGACCUGCUCACCGUGGACGGUAGGCUAUGCGGGAGCUUUAGAGAGGCUGCUGAAAGGUUGGGACUCAUCGAGGCAGAUAACACGCUCGACGACUGUCUUACCGAGGCAGAGCAGUGGGCGAUGCCAGGUUCGCUCAGGAGGCUCUUCGCAACAAUUUUGGUGCACUAUGAGCCAAGCGACGUGCGUGGUUUAUGGGAUAGGCACUUCGAGCCUAUGUCUGAUGACUAUCGGCGAUCACACACGUGCCCGAUUGAGGUGGAACAGAUGGUGUUGCUUGACAUUAGGGGUAUGUUGCAAUCCAUGGGCAAAGACAUAGCUAAUUUCGCUCUUCCAUGCAUUGACGAUGCAUUCGACCCAACCGAGGGUGAGGCCAGAGAAGUGAUCGAGGAAUCCAACAUCGAUUUUGACAUCAACGACACUAAAUUGGCAUCGUCGCUAUGUUGGAAAUAUGCCCUAGAGGCAAUAAUAAAAGUAUUAUUAUUAUAUUUCCUUGUUCAUGAUAAUUGUCUUUUAUUCAUGCUAUAACGGUAUUAUCCGGAAAUCGUAAUACACGUGUGAAUACAUAGACCACAAUCUGUCCCUAGUGAGCCUCUAGUUGACUAGCUCGUUGUGAUCAACAGAUAGUCAUGGUUUCCUGGCUAUGGACAUUGGAUGUCGUUGAUAACGGGAUCACAUCAUUAGGAGAAUGAUGAGAUGGACAAGACCCAAUCCUAAGCCUAGCACAAGAUCAUGUAGUUCGUAUGCUAAAGCUUUUCUAAUGUCAAGUAUCAUUUCCUUAGACCAUGAGAUUGUGCAACUCCCGGAUACCGUAGGAGUACUUUGGGUGUGCCAAACGUCACAACGUAACUGGGUGGCUAUAAAGGUACACUACGGGUAUCUCUGAAAGUGUCUGUUGGGUUGGCACGAAUCGAGAUUGGGAUUUGUCACUCCGUGUAAACGAAGAGGUAUCUCUAGGCCCACUCGGUAGGACAUCAUCAUAAUGUGCACAAUGUGACCAAGGGGUUGAUCACGGGAUGAUGUGUUACGGAACGAGUAAAGAGACUUGCCGGUAACGAGAUUGAACAAGGUAUCGGUAUACCGACGAUCGAAUCUCGGGCAAGUACCAUACCGCUAGACAAAGGGAAUUGUAUACGGGAUUGAUUAAGUCCUUGACAUCGUGGUUCAUCCGAUGAGAUCAUCGUGGAACAUGUGGGAGCCAACAUGGGUAUCCAGAUCCCGCUGUUGGUUAUUGACCGGAGAACAUCUCGGUCAUGUCUGCAUGUCUCCCGAACCCGUAGGGUCUACACACUUAAGGUUCGAUGACGCUAGGGUUAUAAAGGAAGUUUGUAUGUGGUUACCGAAUGUUGUUCGGAGUCCCGGAUGAGAUCCCGGACGUCACGAGGAGUUCCGGAAUGGUCCGGAGGUAAAGAUUUAUAUAUAGGAAGUCCUGUUUCGGCCAUCGGGACAAGUUUCGGGGUCAUCGGUAUUGUACCGGGACCACCGGAAGGGUCCCGGGGGCCCAUCGGGUGGGGCCACCUGCCCCGGGGGCCACAUGGGCUGUAGGGGGUGCGCCUUGGCCUACAUGGGCCAAGGGCACCAGCCCCAAGAGGCCCAUGCUCCUAGGGAACCCUAGAGGGAAGAGUCCUCAAGGGGGAAGGCACCUCCGAGGUGCCUUGGGGAGGAUGGACUCCUCCCCCCCUCUUAGCCGCACCCCUUCCUUGGAGGAAGGGGCAAGGCUGCGCCUCCCCCCUCUCCCCUGCCCCUAUAUAUAGUGGAGGGGAGGGAGGGCAUCCAUACCUGAGCCCUUGGCGCCUCCCUCCCUCCCGUGACACCUCCUCCUCUCCCGUAGGUGCUUGGCGAAGCCCUGCAGGAUUGCCACGCUCCUCCAUCACCACCACGCCGUUGUGCUGCUGCUGGAUGGAGUCUUCCUCAACCUCUCCCUCUCUCCUUGCUGGAUCAAGGCGUCGGAGACAUCGUCGAGCUGUACGUGUGUUGAACGCGGAGGUGCCGUCCGUUCGGCACUAGGAUCAUCGGUGAUCUGAAUCACGACGAGUACGACUCCAUCAACCCCGUUCACUUGAACGCUUCCGCUUAGAGAUCUACAAGGGUAUGUAGAUGCACUCUCCUUCCCCUCGUUGCUAGUCUCUCCAUAGAUAGAUCUUGGUGACACGUAGGAAAAUUUUGAAUUUCUGCUACGUUCCCCAACACGCUAAACUUGGAGCAGAGAGUUGCAUACGACGAGAUACUAGCUGCUGUUGAACACGGUAAUGGGGGUGUGUUCUUUGUUGAUGGCCCGGGAGGUACAUGGAAGACCUUCCUAUACAGGGCACUACUUGCCAAGGUUCGAAGCGAGGGAAACAUUGCUAUCGCUACUGCGACGUCGGGCGUCGCCGCUUCUAUCAUGCCUGGAGGUAGGACUGCCCACUCAAGGUUCAAGAUCCCAUUGAGCUGCGACGAUGGCGCCUCAUGCACCUUCACAAAGCAGAGUGGGACCGCCAAGCUACUGAGGAUGGCCUCAUUGAUACUAUGGGACGAGGCCACCAUGACUAAGCGACAGGCGGUCGAGGCACUGGACAACAGCAUGCGCGACAUCAUGGGAAGACGGGACCGACCAUUUGGAGGAAAGACUGUUGUGUUUGGCGGGGACUUCAGGCAGGUGCUUCCGGUAGUCAGGAGGGGGUCCCGGGGUCAGAUAAUUGAUGCAACCCUCCGAAGUUCACAUCUCUGGAAGGGUAUGCGCCAGCUAAGGCUCGUCACCAACAUGAGGGCUCAUAAUGACACCUGGUUUGCGGAUUACUUGCUUAGGAUAGGCAAUGGCACCAAGGUAGUUGACGAUCAAGGAAACAUACGACUCCCUGAAGAUAUUUGUGUGCCGUCUACAGGCGAGGGUGAUGACCUGGAGAAGCUAAUUGACCAUGUGUUUCCGAGACUAGAUGACAACAUGUCUGAUCCGAAUUACAUGACUUCUCGCGCAAUCCUCUCCACCACGAACGACAACGUUGACAAGAUAAACAUACGCAUGGUAGAGCGUUUUCGAGGAGAAGAAUUAACCUACCAUAGCUUUGACAGUGCAGAGGACGACCCAUAUGGCUACUACGCUCCUGAGUUCCUGAAUGGAUUGACUCCCAACGGUCUGCCUCCGCAUGCACUCAAACUGAAGCUCAACUGCCCUGUGAUACUUCUGAGGAACAUUGAUCCAGCUAAUGGUCUAUGUAACGGGACGAGGCUCGUCGUCCAAGGUUUUGAGAGGAACGCCAUUGACGCAGAAAUCGUGAUUGGACAACACGCGGGUAGGAGGGUCUUCCUUCCUCGAAUACCCCUAUGCCCGUCUGACAACGACAUGUUUCCAUUCAAGUUCAAGAGGAAGCAAUUUCCUAUAAGGCUUAGCUUUGCUAUGACGAUUAACAAGGCUCAAGGGCAGACUAUUCCGAUUGUUGGCGUGUACCUACCUAAUCCGGUGUUCUCUCAUGGUCAACUCUAUGUCGCGUUGUCUCGAGCCACUGCGAAGAUGAACAUAAAGAUCCUCAUUGAGAAGGAGAAGGAGAAUGAUAAUGGCAAUAAGCAAAGCAGUAAAUCAAAGAAGCGAAAAAGACCUGCCUUGUCCUUACAGGCCUCAAUGAAGAACAUCGUCUAUAAGGAAGUCCUUACAGGCUAAAGUCCGCACUUAAGAAACUGGUGGUUUUUUUUUACUGAAAUCUUAUCUUUGGUUGUUAGCAACUGAGCUUUAUUAUGUUUAUACAAAAAGUCAAAUAUUAAUAAUAUUUCCUCGGAGUUGUGACUUUGCAAAUUACCAUUUCUUCCUGUAUAUGACAAACCUGGUACGUGCAUCCUAUGUGUUUAAACGUGCACGACCAUUAUGUUUUCCUGCACAGAUAUUGCACACUGCACGUGUCACUCAGAUGCUCUGAAACUAGACUCCAUUGGAGUGCUCUACUUUAGAGAAAUAUUAUGAUGCGGCCUCAAAGCAGGCACACAAAAUGUCCCCAAAACAACAUUUGUGGUAUAGUUGUUUCUUAGUUUCAUUUAUUUUGUGUCUGUUUGCUCCUUUUACCUUUUUUAGGUAGCUGGAGCUAGACUCCAAUUAGGUGAACUCCUAUCUAAUGUUUCAGAAAUGGAAAUAGCAGCAGCAUCGUCGUUGUUGAGGUUUUCUUUUUUUCUCCUUGUUUCUGGCAUAGCCAUGGUCAACUCGUGGUACGGACUAUUACUUGUAGUUUAGAUUAUUUUUCCUUUUGUAGAUUUCUUAUGUAUAUUAUUCUUUUCCUGGUUUGUAAUCAAUCAUCUACUACAUCUAAGUAAAACGUCGUUGCGGACAUUUAACACACUACAACAUUCAUUCUUUGCUUAACAUUAGCAGACAAUGUAAAUAACCAAGCUCACAGCAUCCUGAAGCGAUAUAUUAGCUACUUCAGCAGACAACAGACAUAGAGAAGGAAGCAAUAUUUGAUUUGCUCAUACUAGUGGAGCAGCGAAUUCCGCCCAAGGUUUCUCGCAGCACUUGUGGUCGGCGGCCAGGAUGUGCACCCACAACCGCUCCUUGUAGUUGGCCUCUGCGUCCUCCUCCCUCGACGCGAGUCUAUGCGGGAAGUUGAUCUAGAAAAUCCUGUUGUUAGUUAUAACAAAUAGGUGACAAGAAGUAAACAAGAACUAUGUAGUGCAAUAUAUGUGUCACACAGUAUACUUUGAAAUGUGUAAUAUGAGAUUCUGAUAUAAUGGUUGGCCUGUAACACACCUUGAACAUGCACUGAAGACCCUAUUUUAAAAAGGAUUUAAUAUAAUUUGUAGUGAUUCUUUUGUCAGAUUGAUAAUAUAUUGCUUCUUAUGCUUGAUGGUUAAUUUCUUGGCAUCCUUUUUAUCCCCUUAUUAUUCUGAUUGGUCAAAACUAUAGGUGCAAAGCAUGCAUGAUAUAUGUCAAUGUCCUAAUACAUCUCAUACAGUUCAGUACAAGAAGAAAUGUAGGCUCUGAAGGCUCAAAGCAGGCAUACUCAUGAAAAGGAGGAGUUCUUUAUUAUCUUGCAUGUAAUUUCACCAGAAUGAUUAUUUUGGUUAUACCUCACUGAGCAAUGAUAAAAGAUACUGAACAUUGCAAUAGUGUAUUUUCCUUCUCCCUUUUAUUAGGUUAUAAUAUGUUCAUGGACAUAAUUUUGAGAAUUAUAAGAUGGUAUUUUUCCCCAUAAUUCCCCAAUACUUUGCCCAUCUUAUUUUUGCAUAAGAUUCCAUUAUUUCAACAUUGUGGUCUACUAUAUCAAGUUCUAUUAUUGCCUUUUAAGAUAUAUAUUUUGUUUUCCACUAGGAUCCAGAGUUUGCCACGAGCAGUGCGACUGUCUAAUAUCUGGUUUCCUCCACUCAGUUUUAUACACUGUUAGUAUAUAUACUCAUGUGUGUGUUCUGCUGCAGAAUGAUACAAUGAAACAAGAUAAAUGAAUACAGGCUUUUCUUGCAAUAUUCACCUGCGAGCACUUGUUCCGGAUAUACACAUAUAAAUCAGGUCUGCACCGCCCUUUCUCUGAGCAGAAAUGCUUGUAGCGUCUCUCCUUGUUUUAUUAGGAGUAAAAAAAUUAGAA